rnacentral:tRNA from 1 species
UCCCGGGUGGCUCAGUAAUAAAGCAUCUGCCUGCCAAGCAGGAGAUGCAGGAGACAUGGGUUCGAUUCCUGAGUUGGGAA